UGCCUCAAGCUGCAACUGCAUACAUACAGCCAGGAACCAACGAGCAAACACGUACGCGAAUUCAAGGUUUUGAGAUAGCAUCCAUGGCGGCGGCGACGACGACGAUCCAGUCGGUGAAGGCGCGGCAGAUCUUCGACAGCCGCGGCAACCCCACCGUCGAGGUGGACAUUGGGCUCAGCGACGGGAGCUUCGCCAGGGGCGCCGUGCCCAGCGGCGCCUCCACCGGGAUCUACGAGGCCCUGGAGCUGAGGGAUGGAGGCUCUGAUUACCUCGGCAAAGGUGUUCUCAAGGUCGGUACUUC